rnacentral:misc_RNA from 1 species
CUAAGGAGCACAUCUCCACGACGCUUCACACAGGUGAAAGUGGUUGUGGCAGAGACCGUUUAGUUCCCAUUCGUGGAACUGCGGACGCUCAUGGGUGGAACACUGACUGACUCAUCGCAUCGAGGUCGGGGCAAAGUCUUCGACCGCGGUGAUAUACCGACACACUAUUGGGUCCUGAAAGAACAGACGUUCUUUCCAGGCAAGACAAACGAUCCGCUCGGAUCUCUUGCGAAACCACUCGGCUUUGCCAGUAGGUCCAAGUAUUCGAUUCGAUGCGGGUGUGUUGUUUGAGAACUGCACAGUGGACGCGAGCAUCUUUGUUAGUAAGUGUUUAAGAGCGUAC